rnacentral:rRNA from 1 species
UCGGAAGGAACCAGCUACUAUGCGAGUCACUCAGUCUUGCAUAGGCUCGAGAGGCGAAAUAAACAUGAUGGUAUGAUCCUUGUUGCUCUCUUCGGAGGCACGGGCGCAAUACCGACCUGCUUCGUCUGCCUUUAUUGACAGUGAAGCGGAGUCUGAGCAUAAUUGCUGGUACCCGAAAGAUGGUGAACUAUACUUGGGCAAGACGAAGCCAGAGGAAACUCUGGUGGAGGUCUGUAGCGAUUCUGACGUGCAAAUCGAUCGUCAGACCUGAGUAUAGGGGCGAAAGACUAAUCGAACCAUCUAGUAGCUGGUUCCUUCCGA